GACGGGGGCCCGGCACAAGCAGUGGAGCAUGUGGUUUAAUUCGACGCAACGCGAAGAACCUUACCAGGUCUUGACAUCCAGUUAAAGNAUAAGAGAUAUGUGUNUNCUUGCACAAAUGAAACAGGUGGUGCAUGGUUGUUGUCAGCUUGUGUUGUUAAAUGUUUGGUUAAGUUCCGCAACGAGGGCAACCCCUUCNNUCUAGUUGCCAAUNUGUGAAGUGGGGGACUAUNNAUGGACUGCCGGGGCCACCUCGGAGAAAGGUGGGGUNGACGUCAAAUCUUCAUGCCCCUUAUGCCUUGGGUUACACACGUGUUCCAAUGGCCGCCACAGAGAGGAGCGAACCUGCGAGGGGGAGCGGAUCUCAAAAAAGUGGUCCCAGUUCGGAUUGCAGGCUGCAACCCGCCCGCAUGAAGUCGGAGUUGCUAGUAAUCGCAGAUCAGCAUACUGCGGUGAAUACGUUCCCGGGCCUUGUACACACCGCCCGUCACACCAUGAGAGUUGGGUAGCGCCCAAAGUCCGGUUAGGUACCCUGAGGAGCCCAACCCGGCCUAAGGCUAAGCCAAUGAUGGGGUGAAGUCGUAACAAGGGGCCGU
rnacentral:rRNA from 1 species